CCGUCGAUAGCUCCCGGGUUGGCAGAGCGGGGGACUGUAAAUCCAUAGGUCUUUGGUUCGACUCCCCUUCGGCGGA